GGUGUCGAGGAUCCUCCUUGUAAGAGGGCCAGGCCUAAGUUGGUUCCAAUUAGGUAUCUCAGCUUGUCGUUCGGCCUUCAAUUUGUUUACUUCCUUAAGAAGUUGUAGGACAAGAGGGUCCUGAGUGUAGUCAUGUACCACUGGAGCUUUCUUUUGUAAAUCUCCAUCUCCUCUUAGAAGUAUGAAGGUUUGAUCAAGACCAUGUGAUUUUUCCCUGGAC
rnacentral:lncRNA from 1 species